rnacentral:rRNA from 1 species
GAUGAACGCUGGCGGCGUGCCUAAUACAUGCAAGUCGAGCGAACAGAUGAGGAGCUUGCUCCUCUGACGUUAGCGGCGGACGGGUGAGUAACACGUGGAUAACCUACCUAUAAGACUGGGAUAACUUCGGGAAACCGGAGCUAAUACCGGAUAAUAUAUUGAACCGCAUGGUUCAAUAGUGAAAGACGGUUUUGCUGUCACUUAUAGAUGGAUCCGCGCCGCAUUAGCUAGUUGGUAAGGUAACGGCUUACCAAGGCGACGAUGCGUAGCCGACCUGAGAGGGUGAUCGGCCACACUGGAGCUGAGACACGGUCCAGACUCCUACGGGAGGCAGCAGUAGGGAAUCUUCCGCAAUGGGCGAAAGCCUGACGGAGCAACGCCGCGUGAGUGAUGAAGGUCUUCGGAUCGUAAAACUCUGUUAUUAGGGAAGAACAAAUGUGUAAGUAACUAUGCACGUAUUGACGGUACCUAAUCAGAAAGCCACGGCUAACUACGUG